rnacentral:rRNA from 1 species
UACGUAGGGUGCGAGCGUUAAUCGGAAUUACUGGGCGUAAAGCGUGCGCAGGCGGUUUUGUAAGCCAGAUGUGAAAGCCCCGGGCUUAACCUGGGAAUGGCAUUUGGGACUGCAAGGCUUGAGUGCGGCAGAGGAGACUGGAAUUCCCGGUGUAGCAGUGAAAUGCGUAGAUAUCGAGAGGAACACCAGUGGCGAAGGCGAGUCUCUGGACGACUCCUGACACUGAGGCACGAAAGCUAGGGGAGCAAACAGG